rnacentral:rRNA from 1 species
CUUUCGGGUUGUAAACCCCUUUUCUCAGGGAAGAAUAAUGACGGUACCUGAGGAAUAAGUCUCGGCUAACUACGUGCCAGCAGCCGCGGUAAUACGUAGGAGGCGAGCGUUAUCCGGAUUUACUGGGCGUAAAGAGGGCGUAGGCGGUUCUUCAAGUCAGAUGUAAAAUCUCCCGGCUUAACUGGGAGGGACCAUCUGAUACUGCUGGGCUAGAGGGCAGCAGAGGGAGGUGGAAUUCCCGGUGGAGUGGUGAAAUGCGUAGAUAUCGGGAGGAACACCAGUGGCGAAGGCGGCCUCCUGGGCUGUUACUGACGCUGAGGCCCGAAAGCGUGGGGAGCGAACAGGAUUAGAUACCCUGGUAGUCCACGCUGUAAACUAUGGACACUAGGUAUGGGGAGUACCGACCCUCUCUGUGCCGAAGCUAACGCAUUAAGUGUCCCGCCUGGGGACUACGGCCGCAAGGCUAAAACUCAAAGGAAUUGACGGGGGCCCGCACAAGCAGCGGAGCGUGUGGUUUAAUUCGACGCAACGCGAAGAACCUUACCAAGGCUU